CCAAAUUGGGCGAUUUUUGAAAGAGGAUUUCACCACCAAUUCAUAGAUUCCGGAGCAAUUUUUGGACAGUAGCACUUGGGGAGCCUCCCUUUAGUCCAGCCAGAGAUUCCAAGGUAGUGCUGCAGGCGUCCGCAGGCCCGACGUUCUCUUCUACUUUAUUAUGUACUCUGUUUUCAUUAAAUUUCCAGACAGAUUGUAUUUCUUUCAGACAAUUGUUGUAGUAAUCUUAGUCUGUCCGUGAUAUCGUGACACCAGAUUCCGGGUAGAGAUGCGUGUUGUCAUUAUCAUACUGGUCUUGGUUAUUAUAUUAGAUUAUGUCUUCCGCUUGAUUUCA